GUAGGUGGCAAGCGUUGUCCGGAAUUAUUGGGCGUAAAGCGCGCGCAGGCGGUUCUUUAAGUCUGAUGUGAAAGCCCACGGCUCAACCGUGGAGGGUCAUUGGAAACUGGAGAACUUGAGUACAGAAGAGGAAAGCGAAAUUCCACGUGUAGCGGUGAAAUGCGUAGAGAUGUGGAGGAACACCAGUGGCGAAGGCGGCUUUCUGGUCUGUAACUGACGCUGAGGCGCGAAAGCGUGGGGAGCAAACAGGGAUUAGAUACCCUGGUAGUCCACGCCGUAAACGAUGAGUGCUAAGUGUUAGGGGGUUUCCGCCCCCUUAGUGCUGCAGCUAACGCAUUAAGCACUCCGCCUGGGGAUACGGCUGCAAGGCUG
rnacentral:rRNA from 1 species